AGCAGAGCAGCUUCCUUGCUGUGAUCUAUUCAAUGUCAGCCCUCCACACAAGGGUUU
rnacentral:rRNA from 1 species